AAAAAAAAAGAAUCCCUCACUCUUUGCUGCCUCUCCAUCAAUUUUUUUUUUUUUUUUUUUUUUUUUUUUUGCGUUUCGAGGAAGUUUUCAGCAAAUCCACCCUCGCUCCCAGCUCCCGCAGGGCGCGAUAACACCGGAGCCCUCUGAAAGUUUGAGAAAAAGAGAGGAGGAGAAACGGGGAGCGAGGAAAUAAAGAGCAACACCUGAGGAAGAGCGAGAAGAUGGUGCGGGAGCUGGAGGCUGCCAAGACUAAACGUGCGGUGGAACCGCACGGGUGAGAUCCGAGAGAUGCACGUGAAUAAACGUGGCUGUUCGUACACGUAAAUAUCCGCAGGCACACCACAAAAACCGCGUGUGCGUGGAUGCGCAGGGUGUCCAUCAGGGCCUUAUCUCGGCCCCAAGGAGAAAAGAAAAGCAGAUAAGACCUUCGCUCUCUGCCUGGGAAGAAACUAAUGGGGGCAAGAGAGGGGAAAAGUCCUCAGCGCCCCGCGCCUCUCCCCGAGAGCGAUCUUGCCAUGACCUUGAAGGGGAGGCGGAGGGGGGCAGAAGGAGCCCGAUCCCGAAGGUUUGGACUCAGGCACUGAUAAAAGGCCUCACAAGCAACACCUGUAAAUGCCCUUCCCUUCCCUUCCCUUCCCUUCCCUUCCCUUCCCUUCCCUUCCCUUCCCUUCCCUUCCCUUCCCUUCCCUUCCCUUCCCUUCCCUCGCCCUCCCGCUGGAGCCCCGGGCGGGGGGACACCCCGGCCAUCCCCACAGUUCCCUCAUUUCUUCCUCCCUUUCUCUCCAACUCAUUUUCCCCCCCUCUUUCCUCCUUCCCAAGCCGUCUCGCCUCCUUUCUUCCCCUUUUUUCGUUUCUCCCCCCCUUUUCUCGCUCCGGCCGAGCGACAGCGCAGCCCGGCCGCUCUGUUACAACCAUAUUAUCCUUUGUAUUCCCGGCCAUCCACAAAUUUCGGGAGCAGGGGACGGGAGCUGUGGGCCCCCGGCACGGGAACUGCGUUAACCCGGCUUUGGACGGGUGUCACGGGCGUCCUAAAACCCACUUUUAUCCACGAGGGAAAAAUACAGAUUACACCAAUAACCCAAACACUUCUUGAAAUUUUUGUGUGUGUGCACGUCUUCAGAAAACGUUAAAUACCAAAAAAUAUUCACAGGACGAAUAGGAAAGGAAAAAAAAGAGCAUUUUCUCUCCUGUUCCAGGGCUAGAUGAGGUCCCAAACUGUAACUUCAGGGCCCUGAGCUACCCGAGUGCUGACGAGAAAUCGGUUUUGAAGGGGCAAAGCCCCGCGGGUGUGUGGGGGAAGCACCAGCAGUAUUUGGGAGCAGUGGGAUGCCGUAUGCGGCUUCCUGAAGUGUCAGGGAUUUAAUUUUGAGGGUAGCAGGUAUCUUCCCUGGAGAGCUUUUCCACACCAACAGAGGUGGGGGUCGGGGCUGAAUAUCUGGGUGGUGUCGGUACUCGGGGUGCUAACCCUGAUUUUUUAAUGAGCCCACAUGUGCCUCCACCCACACAAUCCUAUGGAUUUGUACCUGUUCCACGGGUAUCAACGUUCCACAUUGGAUACGUGCUUCUCUGUCCUGUGGUUGCGGGCACAAAAAUUCCUGCUUUCACCCCUUGAAGAAAUUUUAGGAGCUCGUUUCGUUCCUGCCCGGGAUUUCUGGGGCGCAGCCAGGGGUGGUUACCUGCCCCGUGUGUGUCUGUCAGGCUGCCCCCGCAGGUGAAUGCUUUUGCCAGCUCAUUUUGGGUUGAAAAUGGUUCAUUUCUAACGAAAAACUCUUUUGAGGGGUAAAGAGCGCUCGAAUCUCUGCGCAAAAAAGCUCCCUCGGAGGCCGGGUGGGACCUGCGGAGCCGAGCCCGCGUCCCCCCGCCCAGGCUGCGGGCACGGGAGCCACCAACCUCCCCACUCCGGGGGCCCGGGGAGCCGCCGUUCGAGACAAUGUCUAUUUUCUGUCAUUAAUAACUCGUUUCUUCCUUAAAAAAAAAAAAAAAUCUCGUUUGGAUCCAAGAUUGUUUUUAUGAUUCAGUCGGACAAGACGGAACACAUGUUAGUUUAAGCAGGUUCAUGAAAUAGCUGUAAAUCAAAUAAAGUUUACGAGUUUAGCAGGAAAUACUGAAAAGAUGAGGGGGGGAGGAAAAAAAACUCCGCCGAGGCAGAGAGCAGCAGGCUGGAAUAGUCGGUGGAGUUUUGUCCUGCUCUGUGUUUCUCUCUGUUCUCUUGUGCAUCUUGCCGAUUAAAGGCCUCGAGACCC